rnacentral:tRNA from 1 species
AGAAGAUUAGGUUAAUGGUAGACCAAGAGCCUUCAAAGUUUUAAGUGUUGGUUCAAUUCCAGCAUCUUCUG